ensembl:ncRNA lncRNA:CR46119 long non-coding RNA:CR46119
GCCAAAACGCUAAAAAGCCAAAAAAGAAAGAAACCGAAAAGAUCGAGACACCUACAGCAUGAAUUUAUGGCCAGGCGAUAAGCGCCGGCCAGGAGGAAAAUCCGCCUGGUGCCCAAAAUUGGACAAGGAACGUGUGCGUCAGACGGGCGGAGAAUUUAGUAGCUGUCAAGGCAUCAGCUGUGGCCCCUGGAAACACCUACAAAGCCACGAAUCCCAAGUUGAAGCCAAGUCGGAGCGAACCUAAGGCCAAAGUCGGAGCAAGAGUUGAGACGUCGGCGCACGCAAGGAGUGAGCCACAG